AUCUUAUAUAAGCAUGGUGAAAGCUGAGAAGAGAUAUUCUCAACAGAAACACCUUUGCCAUGGAGGCCAUGGAUUUCCUAUAAACAAAUAGCUCCAGUGAGUAAAAUUAUAAAUGGGUAGUCAUAAGACGUGUAAACGUACCUAAAGCAGAGCAUAUAGUUCAGGAAUAUUCUCCACAAGUGUCUCAAAUAAUCAGAUCCAAGCAACCAUGAGCAUGACAAAAUUAAGUAUUAGGUAUGUAUUGUUUCAUUUGAUAAUUCUAGGAUGUUUGUACUUCACAUCAGAGUUCAGUUGUUUCAACAUCUUUGUUUCUCUAAUGCAGCUACUACUACAUCCUGAAUCUGAUGAUUCGGCUCAACUUUCCUAGAUUGAGACUGAAAAGCUGCUAGCCCAGUUAGUUGAGACUGAGAUGAACAGACGUUUGAAGGAGGACACUUACAAAGGAAAGAAGUUUAAUGCAAUCUGUCACUUCUUGGGCUACCAAGCUAGGGGAGCACUGCCUUCAAAGUUUGAUUGUGAUUAUGCCUACGCAAGUCCCUCACCAGCACAUUUAAUAAAGAAUAUUGAUUGUUGUUGGUUUAACACGUGGGUUAUUGGUCUCAGUUUUUGGGGCAUGUGUGCUACCACAUCAUAGCUGCCGGAUUGGAUGGAUAACGGAUACAUGGCUACAGUGAGAAAUCUUAAGAAUCCAGUGAACAAGUGGCGAUGUGGUGUGACUCCUAUUUCGGUAAGAUUUGUAUGCCUAAUAGUUUAGGAAAAGUAAGAAUGUAGCGUCUAACCCAUGUCUAUCCCUGCUGUCUAUGAUGACUGUGAAGCGAUGAUCAAGUGAUUGUUUUAUGUCUGUUUUAUAUGCAAAAAAUAUAAUCAAGUUUUAUCGAAGAUGCUACUAAAAGUUUUUUCUUAUGAAUUUUAAUUACUGAAUCUAAUUUCUGAUCCGCUUGUGUCUUUACUCUAAAUGAUAGUAUUACUACUUUAUUCGUUUGAUGGGACACAAGGCUUCUCAUGUGGCAUUGGAAUGUGCUCUUCAAUCACAUCCAAACAUGGUAUGUUUUUUCCUUACUUGCAUGUGACCUGUCACAUUUUUUUCUCACAUGGAUCUGGAAGAGCCGCGUGAGAGGAAGCUAAAGGGUUCUGGCUUAAGCUGUAUCAGGUCAAAAUUUUCACCAUUGAUCCAACCUCUGCUGCGGCAAUUUCCAGGUAGGCUCCGCAUCCCCUCCCGGUUGUGUGAUUCUAGCGGCAACAGCGAGGUGACAA